UGCAUGGCGAGGCGCGGCGGGGCUCGCUGCCGUCAGGUCGCUGCGGGAGCGGAGGCGAAGCGGCGGCUCCUCCUGCCGAGCCACACCAUCUUGUAAACUGUUGUGAGAAGACAAACCUUUCUCAUGCCCCAAGAGAGGGAGUGAACUGUACAUCCUGUUGGCAACAUAUAGAAGUGAUCUAUUUCUGUUCUGGAGAAGUGAUUCCCUUGCAGCCCAUUGUGAAAACCAUGGUGAGGCAGGCUCCACAGAGCCACAGACCUCCACAGAGGUCCACAGUGGAGCAAAUACCCACCAUGGAGCAGAAAUCCCAUAGAGGAACUCACAACAGAGCAGGGGAAUGCCUGAAGGAGGCUGUGACCCCUUGGGAAGCCCAUGCUGGAACAUGCUCCUGGCAGGACCUGUGGCCUCAUGGAGAGAGGAAUCCAUGCUGGAGCAGGUUUGCUGACCCUGUAGGGGAACCAUGCUGGGACAAUCUGUCCCUGGAAGGGACCACACAGAAGCAGUUUGUGAAGAACUGCAGCCUCUGGGGAGGAGCCAUGUUGGAGAAGUUCAUGAAGGACUGUCUCCUGUGGGAGGGACUCCACGCUGGGCAGGGGAAGAUUGUGAGGAGUCCUUCCUCUGAGGAGGAAGGACUGGCAGAAGCAUUUGAUGAACUGACCACAACCCCCAUUGCCCAUCCCCCUGCACUGCUGGAGGUGAGGAGGUACAGAAUUUGAGAGUAGAGGUGAGCCUGGGAAAAAAGAGAAGUGGAAGGAAGGUGGUUUUUAGAUUUGUUCCUAUUUCUUGUUGUACUCCUCUGAUUUGAUUGGCAAUAAAUUAAAUUCAUUUCCCUGGGCGGAAUCUGUUUUUCCCAUGACCAGUAAUUGCUGAGUGAUCUCCCUAGUCCUUAUCUUGACCCAGGAGCCUUUAGUUUUAUUUUCUCUCCCCUGCCCAGGUGAGGAGGGGAGUGAUAGAAAGACUUCUGUGGGCAUCUGGUGUCCAGCCAGAUUCAGCCCACCUCGGUCAGUAAGAAGACAUUUGGUAAGUGCAAUCUUUGGGCAUGUGACAAGACAGCAUUUGUAAUGUUAUCCAAAGAAUCUGUAGUGAUUUAAAAUCCUAUUGUAGUUUCUGUAUCACUAGUUUCAUUAUUUGAUUAAAGUCCAGCAGAGCAUUAAGGAUUACAUUUGACUGAGCAUGAAUGAUUUACAAUUAGUUAGAAAAAAUAAAGGUAUUAAGGAAUGUGCCAGGUUAAUUUAUUUGACAAAUGAGUGCAAAGCUACUUACACAAACAUUUCAAAACAGAGAAGCACCUGGUUCAUAAUGUAUUUUGUAGAAGCAAUGAAAAAAGUAAUUAUAGAGAAUUGUAAAAACAUUGCCAGGAGGUAUAGCUAAGAUCGCUAGGAAUGCAGGGGCUGACUUCCACUGCACUUCACAGUUGUGCUGGGUCCUUCCAUGCAUGACCCACUGGGUGACAAUCAGUAAGCUGAGGAAUCCACAGGUAGGGAAGAUAUAAGCUAUACUUGGCAGUUAGGGCAUGGUUUGGUAUCCAGCCUGGGGUUUGUACGAGGGGAUAAUUGUAAUUCAUUUGUAUUACAGUAUCUGCUAAUGCCAAGCUUUUAGUAUUUUUCCAGUUUAAUGUCAAUAAUACUACAGUAAUGUUGAUAUCUAGCUUUUUAAAACACUACCCGUUUUUAAUUUGUUUAUGUUGGCGACAUUUGUUAUUUUACAGUAGUAUAGGAAACAUCUAGUGGUGACUGAUGUAAGCCACUUCCUGUCUGUUUUUACUUGAUCAUGAUAUUUCUUUGUCAACAGGAUCAACAGCAUAAUGUGCAGCAUUUCAAAUGUAAAAAAAUAAACUUUUCCAAAAAGCCCAACUAUGCAGAUUUAUCUCUGUGGGUAUUGCUGGGUUAGGUUGUCACAUUCAAGUAUUAUAAAGCGUCCGUAUGUUCCAUAUCAAUCACUUCAUAUAGAUAUUGUGUUCCACAUAUUUUUACAGUCCUAAGUAUUUUAGUUAAACUUCUAAACUUUGAAGAAAAGCUAUGCUGGUCAUCUGGCCAUACUGAAGUGGGAAGACAAAGAGGUAAUAACCCUUACAGCUGAUAAUAUUCAAUCAUUUCUAGCUUCCAUUAAGGACAACGUCCUUUCUUUUGUUCACUUCUUCAGCAUAGAGGCUAUUGCCUCUGUAGCUGGGAUUUUUUCCAAAUAUCUUCUUAGCAGGUGAGGACAGGCAGAUUAUAGGAAAGGCAGUACAAAUGGAAAGUAUAUCAAUGCUCAUCUGACAAAUAAACAAACCAUGAUUUUACCAUGGAAACUGCACAGGCUAUCUCUUCACUUCUGCUAGUCUCAGUCAGUGAGGCUCUCUGCAGUCAUAGGAUCUGAAUCCCUGCUUCUCUCUGCAGACCUUGGGGCUCGAAGAUGGUAUUCUUUAUGCUCCCUAAAGAAGGUGUGCUUCACUUUGCGGUCCUUGACUCUACCGGAAACUGCGUUUUCCACAAGGAGCAGAAACACCUCUUUUGUUAAAAGAGCAGUGCCCUGCUAAGAACGUGUCUAGAGACUGGCCACAUAUCUUCCCCUGAGAGAUGUGUAUUUAUUUUUCUCCCUAAUCUUUGCUUUAUAAUUCUCAUUAUUAAAAAAGAUAAAAUGAUCGAGGACUUCAUCUAAUCAAAGGCUCAUCAUCAAAAGCAGACAUGAAUUGAGGGAGGCCAAGGACCUGCAGUCUGACUCUACCCUCCUACAUAAAGCUUUUGUCUAAACUUGCAAAAGCUCCCCAUUGCACCAGAAAAGGGCACGGGGUAGUUUCUGGCCUCUCCCAGAACUACUUCUGUCUGUACCCGGGAGUGGUCAGGGGAAGUCUGAGAGUUUAGCAAUGAGUCAUUCUCCUACCUGGGACUUCUGAGUCCAGUCAAACCUACAGGUUUCAGUGCUCCUAAAAUGCAGUUGUAGAUACUAUUUUGAAUGGCUAAUACUCCCCAUCCACUUAAUAUCCUAGGGGUUACAAUAGCUACCAAGUAAUUUGGAGCCUUGUGCUUGCCUCCCUUCUCAGCCUGAUGUGGCUUGAUGUCUUCAUGGUGUCUUUCAUAUCUUCCAUAUCUCACAGGAGCGCUUGACCAGCUGGGCUAAAGUUACUGAAACUGCACAGCAAAUAGGAACAGAGAAGCUGUUCAACACUGAGGUGGUAUUUUCAUAGAACUAUCUAUUUAUAUGGCAUGAUUUCAGACUGCAAUGAUAAUCAUUACUCUGAGUGCACUGUUGGGAACUAGGCGAACUACCAUCAGACUUUCGUGAUGCAGUCAUCAUCACCUUGUACAAGAAGAAAGGAAUUAAAUCAGACUGCUCAAAUUACCGAGGUAUUACUCUGCUCUCCAUUGCUGGCAAAAUCCUGGCAAGAAUACUUUUGGACAGACUAAUACCUGCUAUAGCAGAAGGAAUUCUACCUGAGAGCCAGUGUGGUUUCAGAGCCAACAGGAGCACCACAGACAUGGUGUUUGUUCUCAGACAACUGCAAGAGAAGUGUAGGGAACAGAACAAAGGUCUCUAUGUAACCUUUGUCGACCUCACCAAGGCUUUCAAUACUGUGAGCAGGAAAGGUCUAUGGCAGAUUUUGGAACGUUUAGGUUGUCCCCUCAAGUUCCUUAAAAUGAUCGUCUCACUCCAUGAGGAUCAGCACGGCCAAGUCAGAUAUGGCAAUGCACUUUCUGAGCCCUUUCUAAUAACCAAUGGUGUGAAACAAGGCUGCAUUCUCGCACCAACCCUAUUCACAGUCUUUUUCAGCAUGAUGCUCUGAAGGGCCACGGCAGACUUCGAUGAUCAGGAUGGUAUCUACAUUCGAUACCGUACUGAUGGAAGCCUAUUCAACCUAAGGCGACUGAAGGCCCACACU